AACCUUAUGGACCUGCGGGCGUAUACCUGCGGAAGGAUCAUUAAUAAAUGUUACUUCGGUAACUUAAUUAAUCCCUAACACCUGUGCAUCUUGUCGCUUCGGCGUCAUUUUAUAAACAUCAGUGUAAUGAAUGUAACGUAUUAUAACAAAUACAACUUUUAGCAACGGAUCU
rnacentral:misc_RNA from 1 species